rnacentral:rRNA from 1 species
GAUGAACGCUAGCUACAGGCUUAACACAUGCAAGUCGAGGGGCAUCAGGAAGAAAGCUUGCUUUCUUUUGCUUGGCGACCGGCGCACGGGUGAGUAACACGUAUCCAACCUCGCCCUUUACUCGGGGGAUAGCCUUUUCGAAAGAAAGAUUAAUACCCGAUGGGAUAAUUAUUCCGCAUGGUUUCAUUAUUAAAGGAUUCCGGUAAAGGAUUGGGGAUGCGUUCCAUUAGGUUGUUGGUGACGGUAACGGCUCACCAAGGCCUUCGAUCGGAUAGGGGUUCUGAGUAGGAAGGUCCCCC